rnacentral:snoRNA from 1 species
ACCCUCUGUUCCCUUUCCCAUCAGAUCUCAACACUGGAGAGCAUGUGAAGGAGGGAGAGCAUGUGAAGCUGGCCUCACAGCCUUGUAGUCUGCUUAUAAGCAUGUGGGCUAGAUUCAAACAGGG